rnacentral:rRNA from 1 species
AGCGAACGCUGGCGGCAGGCCUAACACAUGCAAGUCGAACGGAUCCUUCGGGAUUAGAGGCGGACGGGUGAGUAACACGUGGGAACGCGCCCAUUGGUUCGGAACAACUCAGGGAAACUUGAGCUAAUACCGGAUGUGCCCUUCGGGGGAAAGAUUUAUCGCCAUUGGAGCGGCCCGCGUCUGAUUAGCUAGUUGGUGAGGUAAAGGCUCACCAAGGCGACGAUCAGUAGCUGGUCUGAGAGGAUGAUCAGCCACAUUGGGACUGAGACACGGCCCAAACUCCUACGGGAGGCAGCAGUGGGGAAUCUUGCGCAAUGGGCGAAAGCCUGACGCAGCCAUGCCGCGUGAAUGAUGAAGGUCUUAGGAUUGUAAAAUUCUUUCACCGGGGACGAUAAUGACGGUACCCGGAGAAGAAGCCCCGGCUAACUUCGUGCCAGCAGCCGCAGUAACAC